UCUGUCCGGAAAUAUCCGAUGAUCCCUGAUGACUGCGAUUCCAAAUCCAAGUUUGUGUUGGAACAAACUGGAACAAUAUUUCCUCCAGGAUCAGUUCUAACAUGCAUUUAACGUUAACGUUUAAACUUUACGUGUCACCUGAGUCCGAGUAGGACGGAGGUGCAGAGAGCUGAGGAGUGUGUCCUACAGAAACCUCGUCGGCAAGUCUAAGAUACCGAGGCUCGUGCUCUUGGCUAAUACCGGGGAAGAUGUGAGUCGGCAUGUUUGGGCACACGGGACAGCAGGCACUUCCUGUUCCUCCAGACAGAUGGACAGGAAGUCCGUCUCCGCCACACGCUGAGUCCUUGUUGUCCCUUGUAGAGAAGCGAGGACGAUGCACACCCGAGCGACUCUCCUGGACCUCCACCAGUUCAGGCGUUAGUCAUCUUUAAUGAGCUGCACGUGUUGGUGUUGAUGACUCCGCCCUAAUGAGAGCGUGUGGUGAAGCGACGCUGAGCUGGUGUUUGAUUUAUUUCUGUGGAUAAAGGAUUUAAAGCAGAGCCGGGGACGUUACCGGGCAAAACAAAACACACACACACAUCCAUUUCCUUUAAGAUAGGAGACACGAGCUACGAGGCUAAUGUAGCUAACACGCACGGCGAGCUUAAAGCCUCCAGGGUUCCUUCGUUCUUUCUUUCUUUCUUUCUUUCUUUUGUUCUUUCUUUCUUUCUUUAUUUGGUUCUUCCUUUCUUUCUUUCUUUCAUUAUUUGGUUCUUUAUUUAUUUUGUUCUUUCAUUCUUUCAUUCUUUCGUUGGUUCUUUCUUUCUGUCUUUCUUUCUUUCUUUCUUUCUUUGGUUCUUUCUCUCUUUUGUUCUUUCAUUCUUUCUUUGGUUCUUUCUUUGGUUCUUUCUUUUGUUCUUUCAUUCUUUCUCUCUUUUGUUCUUUCAUUCUUUCUUUGGUUCCUUCUUUCUUUCUUUCUUUGGUUCUUUCUUUCUUUCUCUCUUUUGUUCUUUCUUUCUUUCUUUGGUUCUUUCUUUCUUUCUCUCUUUUGUUCUUUCUUUCUUUGGUUCUUCAUUCAUUCUUUCGUUCUCUCUUUCGUUCGUUCUUUCGUUCGUUCUUUCUUUCUUUCUUUCUUUCUUUCUAAUUCUGUGUGAAAGCUCUAGUGCUGAUGAAGUGCUGGAGGAGAAAAUGUAGCUCUGGCUUUAUAAGCUAUCUGUCCAUUUCCCCCGUUAACAGCAUCUUCUCAGAAUCCAGAGUCCGGCUUCUCCUGCCGUCCACCCCGAAUAGCCGAACUCUACAGCUCACUCAGGGACGCUACAGAGAAGGUUCCCUCUCCCCUCUAGGACACUCGUUCCCGGUCAGGCCUCGUGCGGGUUAACUCAUUUGUGUACAGUUUAGGGAAAUACACACAACUGUGUUCGUUACAAACCACCACAACCACCGCAAUGACCGUGAGAGUGUGCGGGAAUUGGUGAGAAUUCCUUCGGAAGUGGGCGGGAUUGGG
ensembl:lncRNA